AAGAUAUUUCUUAAAACUUAAGGUCCGAUAAAACUUUAAUAGGUUUUCGAAUGUUUAUAUGACAACAUCAUUGCAGAUCGGGUGCAAAUUAUGCAUUUUGACGCACAUGUUAUGCCUCUUCAUUGUUAUUCAAAUGAGCGACCAUAACCAGUUGUUUGUGUACUUCAACACAUGAUGUAUCAUUGAAAACGUGUAGGAAUUGUAUGUCAAUGGAAAUACAUGGAAUCCAACAUCCUAGCUACUUUUGCAAUUUUUCAUACAGACUAUGAAAACAGUUACUAUAGAGUAUAGUGUUCUUUUAAACGUUGUACAUGUUGAAGUGUUGUAACAAAUUACUUUUCAUCAACUAUAUGUACAAAAAUGAAUGAAGAAGGUUAGGAUGGAAAACUGGUGAAGAUGAAGGUUACAAUUGUGAUCUACUUAUUGAUUAAUUUGAAGCAGAUUUUGUUCUAAAGAGGGAAACAAAUAAACAGUGUGUUUUAUAAAGAUGUUCAAUUAUUAACACAACAACAAAAAUAAUCAUUGUAUGAGAGAUAAAUGGAUAUACGUGAAAAUAAAGACACUUUAUUUUCUUUUUCUAUUCACACUUUUUAGUAAGUAGCUAUAAAUAGCUACAUUACCAAGCUCCAAUUAGACUAAUAUUUUUUUAACCCUCUUUCCAAAUUAUUUGCAAUCUUUUAUAAUUUUGUUCAAUUUGGUGGUCCUGAGAUAUUGGUUAAUG